rnacentral:misc_RNA from 1 species
AACGCACAUUGCGCCCCUUGGUAUUCCGAGGGGCAUGCCUGUUCGAGCGUCAUUAUAACCACUCAAGCCUAGCUUGGUAUUGGGGUUCGCGUGCCCGCGGUCCUUAAAAUCAGUGGCGGUGCCGUCUGGCUCUAAGCGUAGUAAUUUUCUCGCUAUAGAGUCCUGGCGGUUACUUGCCAGAACCCCCCCACAUUCUUAGGUUGACCUCGGAUCAGGUAGGGAUACCCGCUGAACUUAA